rnacentral:rRNA from 1 species
GCGAAGUCGAGCGGCAGCACAGAGGAACUUGUUCCUUGGGUGGCGAGCGGCGGACGGGUGAGUAAUGCCUGGGAAAUUGCCCGGUAGAGGGGGAUAACCAUUGGAAACGAUGGCUAAUACCGCAUAACCUCGCAAGAGCAAAGCAGGGGACCUUCGGGCCUUGCGCUACCGGAUAUGCCCAGGUGGGAUUAGCUAGUUGGUGAGGUAAGGGCUCACCAAGGCGACGAUCCCUAGCUGGUCUGAGAGGAUGAUCAGCCACACUGGAACUGAGACACGGUCCAGACUCCUACGGGAGGCAGCAGUGGGGAAUAUUGCACAAUGGGCGCAAGCCUGAUGCAGCCAUGCCGCGUGUAUGAAGAAGGCCUUCGGGUUGUAAAGUACUUUCAGUAGGGAGGAAGGUGGUUAAGUUAAUACCUUAAUCAUUUGACGUUACCUACAAAAGAAGCACCGGGCUAACUCCGUGCCAGCAGGCGCGGUA